rfam:Schistosoma rodhaini strain Burundi genome assembly, scaffold: SROB_scaffold0004781
AUCCACGAGGAGUCCCACAAUAGGACGAAACGACCGUCCAGUGCAU